GACGAACUGUCCUAACGUUGUUCGGAAUCACUGGGCUUAAAGGGCGCGUAGGCGGUCCGACAAGUCGGGGGUGAAAUCCUGCAGCUUAACUGCAGAAGUGCCUUCGAUACUGUCGGUCUUGAGGGAAAUAGGGGUGUGCGGAACUUCCGGUGGAGCGGUGAAAUGCGUUGAUAUCGGAAGGAACGCCGGUGGCGAAAGCGGCGCACUGGAUUUCUUCUGACGCUGAGGCGCGAAAGCUAGGGGAGCAAACGGG
rnacentral:rRNA from 1 species